rnacentral:rRNA from 1 species
CCGCUGAACUAACAUAUCAAUAAGCGGAGGAAAAGAACUAACAAGGAUUCCCCUAGUAACGGCGAGUGAAGCGGGAAGAGCUCAAAUUUGUAAUCUGGCGGUUUUCAAUCGUCCGAGUUGUAGUCUAGAGAAGUGUUUUCCGUGCUGGACCGUGUACAAGUCCCUUGGAACAGGGCGUCAUAGAGGGUGAGAAUCCCGUCUUUGACACGGACUCCCAGUGCUAUGUGAUACACUCUCAAAGAGUCGAGUUGUUUGGGAAUGCAGCUCAAAAUGGGUGGUAAAUUCCAUCUAAAGCUAAAUAUUGGUGGAAGACCGAUAGCGAACAAGUACCGUGAGGGAAAGAUGAAAAGCACUUUGGAAAGAGAGUUAAACAGUACGUGAAAUUGUUGAAAGGGAAACGCCUGAAGUCAGUCGCGUCUUUCAGGAUUCAGCUUGACUUUGGGUCUUGUCUAUUUCCUGGCUGACGGGCCAGCAUCAAUUUUAAUCAUUGGAUAAAGUCUUGGGAAUGUGGCACCUCCGGGUGUGUUAUAGCCCUUUGAUGUAUGUAAUGAUUGGGAUUGAGGACUGCAGCACGCCUUUAUGGCCGGGGUUCGCCCACGUUACGUGCUUAGGAUGCUGGCGUAAUGGCUUUAAGCGACCCGUCUUG